rnacentral:rRNA from 1 species
AAUGAACGUUGGCGGCGUGGAUUAGGCAUGCAAGUCGUGCGAGAAGUCUUUUGCUUGCAUUAGACGGAAAGCGGCGAAAGGGAGAGUAACGCGUGGGUACCUACCUCUAGGUUCGGGAUAGCUGCGGGAAACUGUGGGUAAUACCGAAUAACAUCUCCGGAUCAAAGGUGUGAUUCCGCCUGGAGACGGGCCCGCGUCCUAUUAGCUUGUUGGUGGGGUAAUGGCUUACCAAGGCAAUGAUGGGUAUCGGGCGUGAGAGCGUGACCCGACUCACUGGGACUGGGACACUGCCCAGACACCUACGGGUGGCUGCAGUCGAGAAUCUUCGGCAAUGGGCGCAAGCCUGACCGAGCGACGCCGCGUGCGGGAUGAAGGCCCUCGGGUUGUAAACCGCUGUCAGUUGGGAGGAAAUCACAUGGGGUUCUCUCCAUGUGUUGACCUAUCUUCAGAGGAAGGACGGGCUAAGUUCGUGCCAGCCGCCGCCGUAAAAC